UACGUAGGUGGCAAGCGUUGUCCGGAUUUACUGGGCGUAAAGAGCGUGUAGGCGGCCAGACAGGUCCGUUGUGAAAACUCGAGGCUCAACCUCGAGACGCCGAUGGAAACCGUCUGGCUAGAGUCCGGAAGAGGAGAGUGGAAUUCCCGGUGUAGCGGUGAAAUGCGCAGAUAUCGGGAAGAACACCCGUGGCUAAGGCGGCUCUCUAGUACGGUACUGACGCUGAGACGCGAAAGCGUGGGGAGCGAACAGG
rnacentral:rRNA from 1 species